GCUAUGAUUUCGUCAUUUCCCCUCAAACAAUUCGCGCUCUUUCCUGUCAUGCUUUCAUAGUUAUAUGGCGGUAAACAAAAGGUCGACAGUCGAAAUGUCAGUGUAUUUUGUGUAGUGUGAUUGAACUGUUACCGCAGCGAAUCAUAAUGUUUGAUUUAAAUUGUGUACAUGGAACAGACCGGGGCAGUGCUCAAUCGAAAUUUGAGCGAACUGGAAGAAUUUGUAUGUUCAAUGCUACCAGAGGCAGAGCGUGCCGCGUGGAUGACAUACACUGGACUAAUCUUCCCCUAAUCGUUGUACAUGGAAACUAGGGAAAAUAUUUGGGAUUAAAGCAUUGAAUGAUUGUGGACAGUUAAAAGAGUUGAUGGUUUCAAAGUUGUCGUGAAAUUCUUUAUCUCUGUGGUGAAAUUUGAGCUCCUUAUCAUGUGUCAACUACAAUAGAAGGUAGCAUGGUCUAUGUAAGUCUGAAAUUAAUUGGAGAAAGUGUUUUCAAACAUUUUCAGAGAGGACUUAAGUCAAAGUUGAGUGGACCAAAACCAAUUAAAACUCACUGACAAUUGUAAGCAUGGCUUUACUUGGAUCUGUAUUGUAUGAGUUAUUAGCAGAAAAUACACAUCGAAAAACUUCGCUCUUUUCACAUGCAACCAUCAACUGAUAAAGAACAUUCUAAUACGUACCAUAGUGUACAUUUCGCGAACUAAAGUACGGAGAUCGCUGGCAUGCGGUUGUACUAUUGACGUAGCGACGUAUGUAUGUACCUUCGUUAGAAUGUUAGUGUAAUAAUUCACCAAAAUGCGUUUUCCUCAACAAAAAUGCGAUUGUAACAAUGUUUUGAAAAUAACAAAUCAGCUUAUUUACCAACAUUAUGUUUAUAAUCAUCUAUCGUUAAUUGCAAAUUUAUUGAAAUACUUUGUGUGAAAUAGAACAUACUUUCAUAGAAGUGCGCAUUUUGUGUAAUUAUGAAUUCAGAAUUCCGAUCUUACCUUUCGAAGGAUACCAACUUCUCAAUUACCAAGAAGAAUACCAAUAAUGCUCAUUGUUGAAACGCGUAGGUGGUUGAAAGUAUUGUUUGAACGCGAAAAAUUUCCCGCCGCUCUUUGAUUGGGUGAUUUCGUUAAUACAAUCGUAGAUGUAAAUAUCAGGGCUCUGGUAAAAAUACCUGUGAUUGGUCGAUAUCACCUUCAGUUUGAUCUUGGUGCUCGUGCCAGCGGAAGUAGUUCAUAUACGUGAUUUAACUUUUUUUCCUUAGUCGUGUUUUUGUCAUCGUUUAUGUGGUUGUUUGGUUGUAUGAGUUAUGAAAAAUUAUAUGUGUGUAUGAAAUUUAUGAAAUGAAAGAGAAAAGAAAUCGUCAGAAUGUGCGCGCGAGUGAUGCAAUUUUCAAACGUCGCACGCUUCAUGAUUCCGUAAACACAUCGUCAUUAAUGUCUGUAAAACGUACAGUGUUUUGAACAAUGAAAAAUCAAAUUUGAAUCUUGGAAAAGGUGACCAUGUCUACUUAAUGUAGAUGGACUGUUCAAUAAAGAAUUUUAAAGUGAAACGAAUGAACUAAAGACUGCUGAAUCUUAUGACAAAGACAGUGAAUAUUCUGAAGAUGUCAUCGUAUUCAUUGGAGAAGACGCCUUACGAAAAUUUCGAUAAAAUUGUGCAAAGCAUUUUCAUCAAAAGUGAAUCAUGAGCGCCGACGACGACGUUGAUAACGUUGAUCAACAAGAAUUAGACAGUGUUUUAUGUACUGAAGAAGUUGCAAGCGAUUGUUGAAAUUCAUAUUCCAUUGGAAUCCUACAGUGGCAGUACGGCCCUACGAACGAACGAUUUAUCUUUGUAUCGAGGCAGUAGAUAUCAAUAUACUGUCCUGUUGAAGUGCUAGAAAUCCUACGGAGGUACAAGGUUCGCAAAAACCUUUGGUGGAAAUAAGUAGUUUGACUUAUCUUUGAAUCGAGACAGUAAAUAUCAAUAUACUGUCCUGUUGAAGUGCUAGAAAUCCUACGGAGAUGGUGCUGCCAAAAAUAAGAGAAUUAGUUAGUGGUCCAGAGAAUUCCAAGGGCUGCAGAGCGGUUAUGGCAUUGUCUGCGAAUGGAAGGACUGAACGUUCCAAGAGCCAUUGUCCAAGACUUGCUUGAAGCAAUGGAUCCUGAAUCAACAGAACCUUUCCUGUCUGUCAUAUGAUAAAUCAAAAGAAUUCAAAAGAACGUUGCUGGCAUUAGGCAAGGGACAUGCAUUUGCAAAGCCUAGAGUCUUUUUAUGUGUCUAUGAAAUUAAUAUUUUUACAAUUAAUCAAAAAUAUAAGUUUUUAAAAUGUACAUGGUUUUUAUUGGUUUGUUAAAAGAACUAAUGCAUGGAGCUGAAGAUUUUUUUCAAUUCCUCAAAAUGAGAUAACAUCAUUUCAGGAAAACUCAUUUUAACCGAUUUGUAUUAAUUUAAUGUUUUCUUAGAAAUAAAUACUAGUGGCUUCCACGCCUUAUCUAGGAAAA